rnacentral:rRNA from 1 species
AAGAAACUAACAAGGAUUCCCCUAGUAACGGCGAGUGAACCGGGAAGAGCUCAAAUUUGAAAUCUGGCGUCCUCAGGGCGUCCGAGUUGUAAUCUAUAGAGGCGUUUUCCGUGCCGGACCGUGUCCAAGUUCCUUGGAACAGGAUAUCAAAGAGGGUGACAAUCCCGUACUUGACACGAUGACCGGUGCUCUGUGAUACGUCUUCUACGAGUCGAGUUGUUUGGGAAUGCAGCUCAAAAUGGGUGGUGAGUUCCAUCUAAAGCUAAAUAUUGGCGAGAGACCGAUAGCGAACAAGUACCGUGAGGGAAAGAUGAAAAGCACUUUGGAAAGAGAGUUAAACAGUACGUGAAAUUGUUGAAAGGGAAACGAUUGAAGUCAGUCGUGACUGAGAGGCUCAGCCGGUUCUGCCGGUGUAUUCCCCUCAGUCGGGUCAACAUCAGUUUUGUCCGGUGGAAAAGGGCGGUAGGAACGUGGCACCUCCGGGUGUGUUAUAGCCGCCGUCGCAUACAUCGGGUGAGACUGAGGAAUGCAGCUCGCCUCUAUGGCCGGGG